rnacentral:lncRNA from 1 species
UCAUGUGGGGCUGGACACGGGGAGGGACUAUUCCAUGUUCUUCUGAAACAAUAAACGAGCUCUUUGUUUGUAAGAGACGAGCAGUUCACUUGUGUUUGAGUACGCCAAUGAUGUUAUUGUGAACGCUUCGAGCUCAAUAGAUGACGAGGGAAAGUGGUUUCAAGGGUGCAUCUAAACUACCCGAACAAUUGAUAAGUAUUUUCGUACCAAAUUUCGUUAGACACGUGCAAAUUCGUCCGAACCUCAUAGCAAAAGUAAGUUAGGAGUUAUUGGGUCUAUCGCAAUAGAAAUUCAACUUGUGGAUUUAGCAGAUUGCUGGUAUCUGGGAAUGAGGAGACAAGAGAAAAGUUUGCUAGCAGAAUUACUUCGUAGAUCAAACUGCAAAAGAAAAGGAGUUUGGAUGUGAAGUGAUGCGUUUCAGGGAAAGCAUUACGACUUAAAACAUUAAUGCUGGAGAGUAAUGAUAUACAAACAGAGAGGUAUACAGAAGAUGUGGAAAAAACAGAGAAGAUUUUUCCAAUCCAAUAAAACAUCAUCCAAGAGGACUGUUAUUUACCAAAAUGUCAUUGCUACAUCAUUCUUGUGGUGUUAUGUAUGAAUUAUCCCGUACGUAUCAUUUUCCCGAGUGAUUAAAAAUACAUGUUGAACGAAGCCAUUCCUCGCCACAGCUAUAAAUACGUAAGGACUUCCAGGGCUCACGCAAGACUAUGCACGCGACUUUGUUAGUCACAAUUAACCUACUCUUUUAAAUUCUCUCGAGGGGGGUCUAAAUUGGUGUUAUUAUUGUAUAUUAUUCAUGAAAAGUUACGUGCUUUUGAUAGUGUAUGACAAUUUUAAAACAUGUUAAUAAUGUCUUGGGAACUUGUUCGCUUAGCAUCGAGCUAAAUGUGGUGAUGUAUUGUUGAUUGAAACCUCAGCAACUAUGGACGGGCUUGACGCUUUCCGGGCAAGGGGAUGGAUGAGCAACGUUAUUGUGACAGGAUUGGGAGUACAAUGUAAAAAAGCAAUUGAUGGCUGCCACAAGUUGGAAUGUGAUCAAUUGGCGGGUUACUAUGUUCCCUACGUCGGAGCAAUCUUUGCCGACUCCUUUCUGUUAGAAGUUUCAAAGUUUAAGGGGUCAGUUUGGAUUUUUUUCAAAAAAGGUCUUUUCUUUAGAAUGAAUCAUGUUAAUUUGGGUUUUCGUUCUACGUUGGGAGAUAUAGAAAAGUUAUCUCUUCUAUAAAUGGAAAGGGGGGAUAACUUCAUACACAAACCUGAGGUUUUUCAUAAUUGCACUGAAUCCCCUGUAGUUUAAACAUGGCACUGACCUCCCAUAUCAGAGCAAAAAAUAACCAUUAUACCCUGACCCCAGCCCCCCUCCCACCCCGAAUUUGUUAAUUUUUUUUUUAGUUUUUCUUUAAUCAUUUUAUUUACUUUUUUAAUCUAAUUUAUUUUUUUUGAUCAAUUUCUUUUGGAUAUAAAUAAUUUUUUUGAUUAUAUGUUUGUGUUUUUUUCAGUUUUUUUCAUCAUUAAUUUUAAUAAAAAAUAAAGAAAAAAUAAAUAAAAAAGAGAACACAAUUAGUUCACAAAUAAUCUGAUCAUUACAUUUAAAAAAUUAUACAAACUUUUUAGUUGUAUGUUAUAUAAAUUAUUAAAAUGUCUUAAAACUCAUUAAUUAAAGGCCAAUUUUGCUCUGGACAGGGGAGAGGGUCAGUGCCAUUUUCAAAAACCACAGGGGAGGUCAGUGCCAUAAAAAAACCCCACCCCUCAGGGGGUGUGGAUGAUGAAGUUAUUUCCUAAAUGCGAAAGAUAUUUAAAGUAUUAAAUAUGUUUGGAUCUAAAGGGGCUAUGAUAUGGUGCGGAGCACGAUAAUACUUUAUAGUGCAGGAGCACCAUAGCCCCACACCCGUGUGUGUGGCAGUGGGCUGUGUGGCACUUUGAUGGCAGAUUAUUUUGAGCAUUAACGCGCUUUGAAGUAUACCGUAUUACUUUGAAGUGUACCGUAUUUGAAGACACCGCCACACAUCCAACUAUUUCAUCCAACACUUUCUGAGUUGUUUCGCUGUCAUCUGGAUUUCUUCUCCCAUCUCUUUGCUGGUAAAUUUGUAUUUUCACUCCAUAAUCACAUUAAGUUAUCGCAAUCUUAUUGUUGUCUCUUUCUAAUCGGUUAUUUCUCAUGUUGAACGAUUGAUUUACAAGCAUCUCUGAAGGUAAGUGCCGGGAGGCAGGGGUUUUUUUUUUUAAAUAGGAAUGGAUAGGCAUAAGAAAAAGGAAGAGAAAAUUUAGCAAGCGACCAACAAAAGAAGUUUUUUGGGGGGCCGGGGUAGAAAGGUAGAAAAUGAAUUUGGUGAGUUAGUAAGUUAGAUUACUGCGAAUUGGCAUUCAAUGGUUCUUUUGUAAAUUCAAACCCAAAACCCUCCCCCAUGGGAAAAAAGAGACACACCCACUUGAGCUAAGCUCAAGUACAAAUUUGAACAAGGUAGCCAGAUUUUUUGUUGGUUUGAACAUGAGAGAUGAUAAUGAAUAUUGGAGAAGAAACAAUUAUUUCCUUUGGAAGGGUUGCAAAAAGGUGCGGAUUGUGUAGUUUCUUCAUAACUUCCUAUUAAAAGUGGACCUUUCCCCCCCCAAAUACUACUAUUCUAAGUAUUGCUGAAUGAGUUUUUGCUUGAUGGGGAUGUCUAUGACUAACAAUUAAUUAUUUUUGCAAGCACGUUUUUAAGGACGGAUGGAAGGGAAAAUACUCCAAUAUGCUAUUUAUCAUUGAAUAGACAAGUCAUGCACAUGUAUCCUACACGAAUUUUUUUAUAUUACGAAUGGAUUAGUGAUAAAAGAAGGGAUUAGGAGCUCUUAAAACAAGGUCAAAUUAAAUGAAAAAUAUAUUUGUACUAGAACUUCCUGUAAAGUCGGUUUGAGAGGAGUCAGUAGACUGCAGCUUUCAAUAGGCCUCGUGUGUGAAAUUCAAAAUUCGAACAUUUUUUAAACUUAUUUCUGACUUGCAGGGUAAGUUCUUCUAGUCCUAAGUAGCCCACCACCGGACCCCUAAGGCCUCCACCAAGUGCCCUUGGAUCAAACCUCGAUCCCCCCAUCGAAACUCCAAUUUGCAGUCGUGUAUUUGGUAUGACUUUUGCCACUAUGGGGUCGCAGGAAACACGCUUACACGCUUGGCAAAAUAAGGGCCACUCAAUUCAAACAACCCCAAGCAUCACGGAAGUUCUUCAACUGGGUCAUCUCACCUUGUACAUAUCAUCUGACAAAAGCGCCACAGCGAUUGUGUAAAGUGAAGUAAUGUGAGUUGGGGGUUGGCCAGUGAUGUGGCAAAUGUUAGUUGGCUUAGCCUUUUUUUUUGUUUAGGAGCCAAUUCACCGCUGUAUUAGGCUCAAGGGAGCCCAUUCACGGGCUUGGAUCGUGUAUAGUUGCAGCUUUUCGGAAAGAGGAAAUUCUUGCUCUCACUCAAAGUUAUAUCCAUAGAGCACGUGGUGGAGAGGCAAUGGUGGUUUGCUUUCAACAACUACAAGUGCUUUCAAGUAGAAUAAAGAAAAUACCCAGCUUUUUACAUUUCCAAAUUAAUUGUAACAUAUUCUAGGUGAAUAUUUCCAUAUAUAAUUUUAGCCCUAGAUUUCACAAGUAAGACUUCCAGUUGAAGUUUUUACCCCCUGUUCAUAAGAUUCUUACUUCCUUUUUUAAUCAUUUAAAACUUAUUGUUUUACUUCAACAAUAAGAUUUGGUCUCAAAAUGGUCAAGAGACAAACGCACGAGUGUGAGCAACCUUAUUUCUUUUUUCAGACUGAAUAUUGGAGGAAAAGUUUUGAAGUUUGACACAAAAGUGUUUUCCAAAAUGUUAUAUAUGGUAGAAAGCAGGCAGGAGAGGAAUAGUAAAACAGACAAUUUGAAUUAAUGAAAAGCACACACUUCGCCCAAAAACAAUAGUUCUUUCCCUCUAAUUACAUUUUUGGAAAAAAAUUCCAAACGUUUAUAGCCAAUCAAAUGCCUCUCUGAUCAUCCUAACAAAAACGUGCUCUAUUACAGGUUCUAAACCGGGCAGCUCUGAAAACCUGAAGGGAACAUUGGAAUGAUGGCUUGAUCCAAAUUGUGGAAGAUAUGUACGUUGCAACAAGUAGAAAAGAUCUCAAAACCCUAAAUCAGUCUCUUCACACUAUGGUCCACUGGCAUAUUCAAGCACCCACUGCCCAUCCAAGAAGCUUAGCCAACUCAAGCACUCACCAUGGAUCGCCACCUCGGCCCACCUUCAAAAUCCCACCGGGUCUCCAGGAUAGUCUUCUAUUGGUUCCGCACCCCGCACAAUCAUCCUGCUGACCGGUUCUUCUUUUUUUUUUUUUACCCCGUGUGUGGCAGAAGAUCACUGGUUGAUUGCCAACAAGCCCGUUCAGCGAAAUAGGGAUUGGUCAAUGUGGCGUCCUAGUAUGGGCGUGUCAGCGGUGGUGGAAGUCUAGGCGGCUCAAAAUUGCCAAGACAUUUCAAGUCAAACAGUUCCCAUGUCUGUCUUAUGGUUAGUGCCACAACUAGCCCUGGGCUGCAGGGUAGGCAUUUCACUUCCCGGGAGGAAACACCAAUUUCAUUUUACCAGGAAUUUCCAGCGGCCUUGAAAAGUACAGCCCCGGCAAUGUGGCGAUGGUUAUCGGAAUCGGCGUAAAUAUUGAGCACUGCCCUGUUGGUGUGGUAGGAGAGCAACGGGUGGUGCCUAAUGAUAUAAAUCAGGGAGGAUGGAUCUUGUGUAUUGGGUUGGCUAUUCGGGAUUGGGUUUGUUAAUUUUGGGUACUAUUUGGGGUCUGUGUGCUUGGUUGUACAAGUAUGAAGGGCAUUGCAAAGGUGGUGGAUCUAUCUAAAUUCUAACUACAAUAUUAAUAUUAGUCUUCGUUGGUCAGCAAAUGCCUACCCCCCCCCAAUGUAAAGAAAAAGGUUUUUCUAUGGGAUUAUGAGCCCGUGUUUCAAGCUUCUUCAACCAUCUUAAGAUUAUCUGUAAAAAAUAGUCUUGGUAGUGAUUAUGCACUCUGCGUAACCAAAUGCACUCUGUUUGCCAAUAGAAUAAAGUCUUUAACGGUUUUGCCAAUUAACAGAAUUGCUCCUCUUUAUACAUUACACUCUUUUUUCUCCAAUUCAUCAUUCAUUCCCAAUUCUUUCAAGUUAGAACUCUGAUCUCCCAACUAGGCACCUUGCUUUACAGAAACUUGCAUAGGAAAUCACAUUGGUCUGUCUUUAGUAAUCAUCUUUACAAGUAAGAAUAAACCAUGUCUGUCUCCAUUAUGUAACAAUUAAAAAUCAAAUGGGUUUGGGUUUGUAGCAACAUAAAGCACACAGUCAAAGGGAGCUCCCCAUUCAAAACCAACACAAAGCCAAUGAAAUUUGAAGAUAGAGGAAAUCUUUGAUGAUUAAAUGAUCUUAGAAUAACAACCGGUCAGUUCUGUUUGUAUCGACAUUAUGUUACAAGGAAUCAAGCAAAUAGAACUAAAUAGAGGGGGAUACAGAAUUAUUUACUAUUUGGACGGUAAUAAGGGAAACGUGGUAUGCAGUUUGAAUGGACAGGUUUUGAAUGACAGAAAAGGGCGACGAAAAGGGAGAAUGGCCCAAAAUAACUACCACUGGACAAAGGACUCCACUGGGUACUCAUGUGGGAGGCAUGCACAAUGUAAUCCAUGCACAACUGCUAUCGUCGAAGCAUUAUUCCUUUAGAGAGGUGAUUGAAGCGUUCCAAAAAUGGCUCUUCCUCACUUCCAAUGACAUCUCGAUGAACCAUUGGUUCCAAGAGGAUGAAGUCUCUGACGCUAUUUAUGAUUGUUCCCAUGAAGAAGACAUAGGGAAGUCACCUCCUUCACCUUACCACUACAUGUAAUCGCUCAAAAGCUAUCAAAGUUCAAAAACCUGGUUUCAUUGUGUCAUCCACGACCAUGACCGGGAGGGCAGAGGCCCUAUCCUUGAAUGAGAAUUGUGUCAAGGCAUCCAGUUUUUAUCGUCUUAAACGGAUUCGGCUGCUUUUAGCUUCAUUGCAAGACCCAAGAUUUGGCUGUCACCAUAUAGAUACGUCCCAUUGAGCUGUCCUCUGUUUUUCUUCCUUUUUUGAAGGCAUUCCAAGCAUUGCCCAUUAUGAAUAUGUCCAACACGUGCAAGGAAACUUGAUCCCAUGCUUAGCUGCCAAUAUAAUUGAAAAACGUCUCUGAGGAUGCAAUCACAAGUACAUAAAGAAAUUUAUAUCCGUAAUAAACGAACUUGCGAUAUGGGUCUGUUGUCCUUAAAAGAAAAUUCUCUUAUUUAAAAAUGUAUAAAGAAGUUAAUCGCAUAGCACCUACCAACAGACACAAAGAAAUGGGCACAUUUAGUGAUUAUCUAGGAGUACCGCAAUUGAAAUAAUGAAUGUUUGAUCUGUUAUGUUUCUUAGCAUUUACAAAAAUUGGUGGCUAGUUAAUUCUUUUUGGUGGGACUUGGUUGGAUAAUUCAAAUCAAAAAUCGAAUCAUACGGUGGAUUGGUGGAUUCCUCCGAUAAAUUAAAAAUUUAAAUCACAUUAAUGAAAUAAACUAGUGUUAAUAAACAUGGUUAUCGAUCUCCAACAUUAGUUUCUUUUCAUGGAUAAGUAUCAUUAAUGGCAAACAACUAUUGAAUUAAAACUAAUUUGAAUUGCACAUCGUGCUGUGAGGACUAUGGGAUAGUCUACUGAUUGUGAUUCGAAGGAAUGUUUCAACUUGGUAGGGUUUGUCGGAAAAAUGAUCAUGCCAAAAAAAAUCAAUUUGACUUGAAUCGGUCACCUAUAUGAUGGACGCGGUCAUUUUUAAAAUUCUAACGUAUCUUAUUAUUUAAUUUGAUUUUUGUAUUGAAUGUAUUUUACUUUUAUGAGCCCUAUAAAUAAAUAAUUCGUAUCAGAUUAAUGGACCAUUCACAGCACGGUGUUGUGCUUAUGUCACAAAUCCUCUUUGGCCACGGGAUUAAUUAUUCGAUCUUAUCGAGACUUAUUUGUGGGUGGUCCACCAAUAGUUUUUCUUGGUGUGGAGUUAGGAUAAUGAUACAGACAUUGCAGAGUGUGGUGGUCAGAAAGAUCUUGCCCAAGAUGGGUUAUACACUGUUUUGGUUAGUCUACGGGGUUGUUUGGCUGUCGGAUAGCAUCAGGGAUAAAUUUUAAAGGGGAUAAGUUUUAGAGAGAAAUAAAUCUUGAUUUCGUUUGGAUACUUUUUAGAAUUAAGGGGAUAAGAAAAGGAAAAUAUAAAAAAUCUAGAUAUGAAAAAUAUAUAUAUACAUAUAUAAAUAUUUAAUAUAAAGAUAUUCAUAAUAUAAAUAUAGAUAUAGAUCGCCCGCGAGUAACUUUUGGUAAGGUGAGAGCCACCCAAAAAAAUUAUCGCUUCUUUUUUUUAUAUCCGCCCGUGAGAGAAAGUUAUUCGUGCGUUUUAAACCAUUUAUACGCCGGAUAAAGUGAGUUAUCCGGGGGAAAAAGUUAUCCCUCGACUAUCUUUCAGCCAAACGGUCCUAUGGGUGGUACAAUGCGACGUGAGCGUCCCUUUGAUUUAAGUUUUUUAUUG